UUUUAUCAAGAAUCGUUGACAGGAUUCUUCAAGCUGGACAUAAUAAUAAUCAAGCAUCAGUAAAGUAUUUAAUAGAGUGGAAUAUCAUUCUGAUUUUACACAAGUUUCCCCAUUAUCUUGAAAAAUUCUGGAAUUGCUUUAAUUAUGAUGAAGAUCAAUUUAAAACUAGCAUUUGCACAUUUUUAGCAGUCCUGUCACAUUUUGACAUAAUUCUCCAGAAUAAAUCUGAAAAAAUAUCAGCCUUGAAGAAAGCACUAAUUGUUGUCCUACAGUGGUGUUUCCAUCACAAUUUUAGUAUUCGGCUUUAUGCUUUAAUUGCACUUAAAAAAAUU